rnacentral:lncRNA from 1 species
UCUGUGCUUCUUCGGCAUCCAUGCCUAAAAAAAAAAAAGAAGAAGAAGAAGAAAAAGAGAAAGAGGGGGUGAAAAAGGAGAAAAGAAGAGAAGUAGGGGAGAGAGAGGGAAGGAAAGGAAAAGAAGAAAAGAAAAGGAGAGAUGAAAUACUGGUGGGAUCCAGGGGGCUCAAGCCGAUGUUGAACAGAAACUGCUCCUUCAGGAGGUUGGG